rnacentral:rRNA from 1 species
ACGGGCGAGUAACACGUAAUCAAGCUACCUGCGAGACGGGGAUAACCUCGGGAAACCGAGGCUAAGACCCGAUGGUCUCGGAGCACUGCAUGGUGUUUCGAGUAAAUGGGCGGGAUCCUUCGGGACCGCCUGCUUGCGGAGGUGAUUGCGGCCCAUCAGCUAGUUGGUAGGGUAACGGCCUACCAAGGCAACGACGGGUAGCCGGCCUUAGAGGGUGGUCGGCCGCACUGGGACUGAGACACUGCCCAGACUCCUACGGGAGGCUGCAGUCGAGAAUCUUCCGCAAUGGGCGAAAGCCUGACGGAGCGACGCCGCGUGGAGGAUGAAGGCCUUCGGGUUGUAAACUCCUGUCACGAGUUAAGAAGGGAAUGCAGCGAACAGCUGUAGAUCUUGACGUAAGCUCGAGAGGAAGCACUGGCUAACUCUGUGCCAGCAGCCGCGGUAAUACAGAGAGUGCAAACGUUGUUCGGAAUCACUGGGCUUAAAGCGCACGUAGGCGGCACCGUAAGUGUCGGGUGAAAUCCCACGGCUCACCCGUGGAACUGCCCGGCAGACUGUGGUGCUCGAGUGUGGUAGGGGAGAGCGGAAC